CCACACAUCAUAGCCCCCAGUGACCUGGGGGGGGGGUGCCAGUGUGACAAACCAGAGCCCCACUCCUGAGGAGUAGGGGCCUGCCUUGAGGCCCCUACUUGUGAGGCAGAGAAGCUGAUGGGUCCCGUGAAGUUGGCCAGCUAUAUGCCGGCCUCCUCUCACCUUACCCCAUCAGUCUGCUCUGCCCAGGCCAGCCCCAGCGUGAGGGCAGUACCUCAGAAGGUUCUGGGAGUGAGGCAUGGCCCUCCUCUCCAGGGAUAGGGUCCUUUGUAAGCAACAAGCCUGGGGUCUCCUGAGGGAAGAGAAAAGGACCAGCUGAAGAUCCUGGCUUAAGAAGAAAGCCCAAAGCAGGCAUACAGGAGAG
rnacentral:lncRNA from 1 species